UACACUCCUGCGGGAGGCAGCAGUGGGGAAUUUUGGACAAUGGGCGAAAGCCUGAUCCAGCAAUGCCGCGUGAGUGAAGAAGGCCUUCGGGUUGUAAAGCUCUUUUGUCAGGGAAGAAACGGUGAAAGCUAAUAUCUUUUGCUAAUGACGGUACCUGAAGAAUAAGCACCGGCUAACUACGUGCCAGCAGCCGCGGUAAUACGUAGGGUGCAAGCGUUAAUCGGAAUUACUGGGCGUAAAGCGUGCGCAGGCGGUUUUGUAAGUCUGAUGUGAAAUCCCCGGGCUCAACCUGGGAAUUGCAUUGGAGACUGCAAGGCUAGAAUCUGGCAGAGGGGGGUAGAAUUCCACGUGUAGCAGUGAAAUGCGUAGAUAUGUGGAGGAACACCGAUGGCGAAGGCAGCCCCCUGGGUCAAGAUUGACGCUCAUGCACGAAAGCGUGGGGAGCAAACAGGAUUAGAUACCCGAGUAGUCCCA
rnacentral:rRNA from 1 species